AAUACCUUCAGAAUGAUUUCUUUAACUAUAUGCCUCUUCUAUUAUUUGCUUUUAAACGUGGCCUAAUUGUUAUCGUCGUUUGUGACUUGUGAGCUCCCCGCUCUGCGCAAAGUCAAAUAAUAUUCUAUUUUCGUGGAUUCAAAGUUUAGGUUUAAUCUCAUCUAGCUCAUCAAGUUCGGUGCAUGCAUAUAAAAAAAAAUGAAAAUAAGCAAUUAAGUCAAAGUCCAAAUUAUAUGAUAUAUGGCCACGUUAAUCAACGUUGAUUUGUGUUGAAAAAAAAAAAA
rnacentral:lncRNA from 1 species